UAAUAGAUACCCGGGUAGUCCACGCCCUAAACGAUGGAUACUAGGCAUUGGUGGCAUCGACCCCCUCAGUGCCGAAGCUAACGCGUUAAGUAUCCCGCCUGGGGAGUACGGCCGCAAGGUUAAAACUCAAAGGAAUUGACGGGGACCCGCACAAGCGGUGGAGCAUGUGGUUUAAUUGGAUGCUAAGCCGGGAACCUCACCAAGAUUUGACAUCCUGCUGAAAGGCACCAGAAAUGGAGCCCCCUCUUCGGACAGCAGAGACAGGUGCUGCACGGUUGUCGUCAGCUCGUGUUGUGAAAUGUACGGUUAAGUCCGAUAACGAGCGCAACCCCUAUUGCCAGUUACAUGUGUCUGGCGAGACUGCCGUGGUUAACACGGAGGAAGGUGGGGAUGACGUCAAAUCAGCGUGGCCUUUAUAUCUUGGGCGACACACGUGCUACAAUGGGUAGGUCACAAUGGUUGCCAAGUCGUAAGACGGAGCUAAUCCCACCAAAACUACCCCAAGUUCAGAUUGAGGCUGCAACUCGCCUCA
rnacentral:rRNA from 1 species